UACAGUCUUUGGGGCAGGGUGCAAUUCCCUACCGGCGGUAAAGCCCGCGAGCCGUUGAGGCAUGACCUGGUGUGAUUCCAGGGCCGACAGUAUAGUCUGGAUGGGAAAAGACGUGU
rnacentral:ncRNA from 2 species